UCUCCUCCACGGGCCGCAGUGGGGAAGUUCUCAGGCCACAGAUGGCCUACGGAACCCCUGCUAUAGAUGCUUCCCCAAAUGCUUUGUGAUUUCACUAACUGCCACUCGGACCAGUUCCAUGCUCUUCUAGAACUUUCUACAGCUCAUAGUACAUCCUUAUUAAUCCUUCUCACUAGCUCCUAGGCUCUUCUCAGUAUGUUUUCAUUAAAUUUAUAAUUACAGGGUGUUCUUUCUGUUGGGUAUGGGCUGUUGUAUCGUUCUCUGGUUCAUUACACAUGGUUUAUUGUGUGAGUAUCAGACCUAAUGAUCAGUGAUUUUAAGGACACUGUGGCAAUCCAAGAUGGAGUCUGAAAACUGUCAUCUUGUGACUCCAUCUUGUGAUCUUCUGUACACUGUCAGCCUGGUCUGGAUGAAACUGGACUGAACAGGUUUUCCCCACCACUGGGCAAUCCCCAAGGUUCCAUCACCUCAGACUGUUUCCCGCCUUUCUAGAGAUCAUACCAUGUUUUCCCACCAUAGAUUCUAUAAAAGAACUGUGAUCACAGGCUGAUGGGGCAGUCCAUCAUAGCGACUGUGUGUGUGCGGUUUUGGGUCUUCGUGGCACUCGUGCAUCAGCGAAGAACACCAUUCGUUCCCGGACUGAAGAGAAAAGAAGACACAUUACCAUCUUACCUGUCCUGCACCUGGAGAAUGUCACCAUCCAGAGGGUUCCUGGUCCGCUUCUUCUGUCCUGACAUCCAUCGAAAGAAUCUCCAGUGUUCCUUCUCCAAGGGUUUAAAUUGCCUAUAGAGUAAAGGAAGAAACAGGUGAGAAUUGGGAACACCAUGGACAUAGACCCCACUGCAUCCUCUUGUUAUGCCUCACUCACUGCUUGUGGAAACACACCUGCUGAUGAUGGGGUGCUUUGGAAUUUUCACCUUCCUGUGGCAAUGCUUUACCAAUGCAACUCUCAUCUGGUGUGAGAACUGGAAUGAUCCUGAUCUCUGAAAAAACAACAACAUUACUCCCCUCUCCUGCCUCCUGAGUAACUCACUUCAGGUGUCUGAGUGCCGAGAAUAUACAUGGAUUCCGUGGGCAGGGCACUGAAGCAAAGACAAUCUAGUCAGUCCUCAUUCUCCAGGAGCAGUUUAGCUUCUGGAUGUUGGGAGUUCAGAGUCUACUGCUGAGGGCUGUGAUCUGUGAAUUAAACAGUGGAAUGUGGGAGAAACGUCAAGUUCUAGUUUUGUUUUGUUUUAAACGUUUGUUUUUAUCUCAUGGUUGUGCCCCUGGACAAGAUAGAAACUCCCCUUCCACCACUUUAGGAGUCCAA